UGACGAUGCCACCAGCGAUCCGCCUGAGUUCCUUAAAUGACUCGGCGGGCAGCUUCCGGGAAACCAAAGUUUUUCGGUUCCGGGGGAAGUAUGGUUGCAAAGCUGAAACUUAAAGGAAUUGACGGAAGGGCACCACCAGGAGUGGAGCCUGCGGCUUAAUUUGACUCAACACGGGAAAACUUACCCGGCCCGGACACUGGCAGGAUUGACAGAUUGAGAGCUCUUUCUUGAUUCAGUGGGUGGUGGUGCAUGGCCGUUCUUAGUUGGUGGAGCGAUUUGUCUGGUUAAUUCCGAUAACGAACGAGACUCUAGCCUACUAAAUAGGCCACCGGCUUACUGACGUCGGUGGGACUUCUUAGAGGGACAGGCGGCGAUUCAGCCGCACGAAACAGAGCAAUAACAGGUCUGUGAUGCCCUUAGAUGUCCGGGGCCGCACGCGCGCUACACUGAAGUGAUCAGCGUGCAUUACAAACCUGCUCCGUCAGGAGUGGGGAACCCAAUGAACCUUCUUCGUGAUUGGGAUAGGGGAUUGUAAUUAUUCCCCUUGAACGAGGAAUUCCCAGUAAGCGCGAGUCAUAAGCUCGCGUUGAUUACGUCCCUGCCCUUUGUACACACCGCCCGUCGCUACUACCGAUUGAAUGAUUUAGUGAGGUCUUCGGACUGGCCGGCGCAGCUGUCUUCGGGCGGCCGCGCUGUGUUUGGAAAGAUGCCCAAACUUGAUCAUUUAGAGGAAGUAAAAGUCGUAACAAGGUUUCCGUAGUGACCCUGCGGAUGAUC
rnacentral:rRNA from 1 species